rnacentral:rRNA from 1 species
GUAGGGGGCUAGCGUUAUCCGGAAUUACUGGGCGUAAAGGGUGCGUAGGUGGUUUCUUAAGUCAGAGGUGAAAGGCUACGGCUCAACCGUAGUAAGCCUUUGAAACUGGGAAACUUGAGUGCAGGAGAGGAGAGUGGAAUUCCUAGUGUAGCGGUGGAAUGCGUAGAUAUUAGGAGGAACACCAGUUGCGAAGGCGGCUCUCUGGACUGUAACUGACACUGAGGCACGAAAGCGUGGGGAGCAAACAGGAUUAGAUACCCUGGUAGUCCACGCCGUAAACGAUGAGUACUAGCUGUCGGAGGUUACCCCCUUCGGUGGCGCAGCUAACGCAUUAAGUACUCCGCCUGGGAAGU